UACGAAGGGGGCUAGCGUUGCUCGGAAUCACUGGGCGUAAAGCGCACGUAGGCGGAUUGCUAAGUCAGGGGUGAAAUCCUGGAGCUCAACUCCAGAACUGCCUUUGAUACUGGCGAUCUCGAGUCCGGGAGAGGUGAGUGGAACUGCGAGUGUAGAGGUGAAAUUCGUAGAUAUCGGGAGGAACACCAGUGGCGAAGGCGACUACCUGGCCUGUUCUUGACGCUGAGGCGCGAAAGCUAGGGGAGCAAACGGG
rnacentral:rRNA from 1 species